rnacentral:tRNA from 1 species
UCCUCCUUAGCUCAGCUGGUAGAGCGACGGACUGUUAAUCCGCAGGUCGCUGGUUCAAUCCCAGCAGGAGGAG